GAGAAACUCCUGAUGAAACUGCGUGUCGCUGUGGCGAAUGCUCUGGAAAAGAAUGGUGUGUCUCAACGCAGCUUCCUUUACAAGGCUUGCGGCAAGAAGCUUUUUGAUAUUUGUAGUACCUUUGCUAAGGACCUUAUCGGCUGUGGUCGUACAAGUGAGCUGCGACAAAACAUUGCAGAUUCCCAUGCAAAGCAGGUGUGUGU